rnacentral:rRNA from 1 species
AGCAGCCGCGGUAAUUCCAGCUCCAAUAGCGUAUAUUAAAGUUGUUGCAGUUAAAAAGCUCGUAGUUGAAUUUCGGGAUCAGUAGGUCGGUCGUGCCACUGGUAUGAACUGGUCUCACUGGUUCCUCCCUCUUGACGAACUGCAAUGCUAUUAAUUUAGUGUAGUAGGAAAUCAGGACUGUUACUUUGAAAAAAUUAGAGUGUUUAAAGCAGGCUUUGGCUUGAAUACAUUAGCAUGGAAUAAUGAAAUAGGACGUUCGAUCCUAUUUUGUUGGCUUCUAGGAUUGACGUAAUGAUUAAUAGGGACAGUUGGGGGCAUUAGUAUUCAAUUGUCAGAGGUGAAAUUCUUGGAUUUAUUGAAGACUAACUACUGCGAAAGCAUUUGCCAAGGAUGUUUUCAUUAAUCAAGAACGAAAGUUAGGGGAUCGAAGACGAUCAGAUACCGUCGUAGUCUUAACCAUAAACUAUGCCGACUAGGGAUCGGAUGAUGUAAUUUUUAAUGACUCAUUC